ACGUAGACUAUUGAAUCACUGAACGUGGUUAAUAACGCAGAGAGAGGGUGCAUUCUCUCUUUCUAUCAAUAUAUAAUUAAUUUUUUCUAUUGGCAUAAUAUUACACGUCAUCGAUGCAGCAUUAAUAAAUAGAGGACAGAAUGUUAAUGCGCUCAGUCGUCAUUAUUCAUUUCGCUUACUUAUUUUCUGCCUCUCUUCGAUAAUAGAUAUUCCGAUAUUCCAAAAAACUCUCUCGAGUUUCCGUUUUCAUUCACUGUUUAGCAUUGUUAAUUAUGGAUGAAAUAAGAUUGAUAGGGUUUAUAUGUUUGCUGUCGUUUUACGGUUGUCUUGAUGGAGAUGCGACCACCGAGCCAAACGAGCCCGUGGAAAGAAUAAUUCAAUCUAGAAGGAACAACGCUGAGCACAAUUCUAAUUCAAUUCUCAGCACUCCUGUUUUUCAAUAAAGCAAAGUUCAGUUUUCAUACUUGGAUAUUGGUUUGCUGUUUAUCUUUCAUAUAGUUACGAAGAUAUAUGUAAGAGAGAGAUAUGGACAACAAUAAAA